rnacentral:lncRNA from 1 species
AGCAAUGACGACAUUGAAGCAGUAAAUGCGUCUUCAACUACACAAAUUAAAUAUGGCAGUACAAAUCCAGAAGCAGUAAAAACAUCCACAAGCCACGUAUUAUGCAUGUAAUAAAAAGAGAAGAAAAGGACAAGAGAAAGAGACAAGAAGGAAGAGAAGAACGGAUGAAUAAAAGUCACAUGUCUCAAAAGUCAAAAGUCUUUGUAUUUAUUUUAUACCAAACCUCUGAACACCGUAAAUAUUUUUCCUACCAUCCAACCACUUGAAAUUAAUUCUCACCUGUAUUCUCACCUGUCACUUGUAAAUGCUUUGCCUAUAAAUUAGUGGUAGUAAAAGAAAAGAAGUGUGCCCGAGAGAAAGUGUGUGCAAUAGUGUGCAAAAGUUGUCUGUAAAGAAGCUCCAUCAUCUUCAGCCUUGUAAAUUCAUCAGCAAUCAAUAAGAAAGUAAGAAUUUUCUGUUAAAUUUUUUGCCUUCAUUUAAAUUUCUGUAUUAUGUAUUUUUCUUACCCUUAGGGGGUAAAAAGGGGUAAAAAGGUAAAAUAGGGAAAUGAAAAUUAUUUGAAUUAUUUUUAAGUUUUCUUUACUAGUUAAUAUCUGUAAUAUACAUGGAUCCUUUUUAUAUAACGUUCUCAUC